CCCUAGAGGAAAAGCAGGGAAACAAAGAAACACGAUUUGGAAGAUUUAUGAAAGGUUUUUCGAUAUCUAGAAGUAGUUUAAAAUAAUAAUAAUUGAAAUUUAUGCAUUACUCUGUGUAUGUGUGUGAGAGAGAGAGAGGGAGAGAGAGAGUGAUAAAAUGUAUAGAGAAGCACAAGAGUGUGGAGAAGACCUGUCACAAAGAACACGGAGCCCACUCUGGGAUAAUUUAAUGCAGGCAUCUUGUGUUCAAUUCAAAUCUUGGUUCUUGCCAUACCCCUUCCCAAAACAACACCAGAUCCCUAACCCCUGCACCAUGGCAGGAACUGUGGGAAGAGGCAUUUUAAUUUCCAAUUCCAAGCAGAAAAAAGUUUACUGAAGAUGUUUAAAAAAAUUGUCCUCAUCACUAUAUUCAAAACUCUAAUCCCACAAGAGGGAAAAAAAAAAAAUGGUUGCCAGAGAGACUUCAGACAUAAGAGCAUUAUGGACAGAGAAAUAGGGAGCUGUAGCUAUUUCAGUGAUUAAUAAUUAAUUAUUAAGACUAGGUAAUAUGGACCCUCUAGGAAAUGUUAGAUAAUCCAGUGCUGAUUGCCAGGGCCAGACACCUGGGGACCAAGAAGAGGGUACAGACUCAAAACUCAGAGCAAUGGUCUCUGUGACUUCUUAAAGUCACUCCCAGUUCCUUUGCCAAAAACAAAAACAUAGAACUUCAUUUGAAAAGCUACUGGCUGUAUUCUUUAGAACUAUAAUUUGUUACAUAGUUAUAUAGUGAAUUAUAUGCCGUUCUUAGCACAGAGGAUGGACUUAGGCUUUUUCAGUAGAGACAGACGGACAGUUUGGCAUAAUGGUUAAGAAUGUGGCUCCGGAAGCUUGAUUAUCUGCUUUUGGACUCUGGCCCCUCCACUUACCAGCUGUGCGAUACUGAGCAAGACGCUUAACAUUUCUGACCUUCAGUCCCCUCGUCUAUAAAAUGAGAUGAGCUUUAAAUGUAUGACAUAAACUUAUCGUCAAGAUUAGAUCUGAAGCACUUCGCCAGCAGCACCUGGCAGUUAAUCACCACCAAAUAAAUAUUAGCCAUUACAUUUAGAGUUAAUUUUUUAUAACACACUGGUAUUUUUUAAAAAUGCAAGCAGUGUUACAUAUAUAUCCCUGGACUGGUGAAGCCUUCUUGAACAUCGCAGGCAAACCAGCUAAUGUUUAAGGGACUGUGUUUAGGGGAGCAGCUGAGAAAUAUGCCUUAAUAGGUCCUUUUUCUUUCAGUAGAGAGCCAAUUUAUUACUGGAUGGCCAGCUCUUACUUAUGAUGAGAUAUAAUUGUCAAAUGAAUUUGUUUUCACUCCGAUCUAGCCAGCACACUCUCUUUAUGAAGACAUAUUAAGUGAAGAAUAAAAUUAUUAUAGCUUUUGCUGGUAAACUUGUUCCUUUCUUAAAGUAGCCUGAAACACUCGUACUCACUAAACCAUUAUUCUUGCCAAGGAAACCAUAAUGUUUGAACGUUCAAGACCACUUGGAUAGUCUCCUCACCUUUUGGCCAGCACUGACUUCUAGGAUCCCCCGUUUCCUGUGUUCCCCUUCUUUUAGUUCAUGAGAUAUUUUUCCCAAAAGGGCAUGAUGUAAUUAAACAUGUCAUUUUAUUUAUUGUUUCUGUUUCAUCAGUUGCAGUCAAAUUUCAAUCUUCUUUAUCAACCUUAUCCCUAAAUAAUAUUAGAGUUUGGAGCUUCAGCAAAGGUUUCAGUAGAAUAUUUACUAUAGCAGUAGCCUACUCUUUUAUUAUUCCCAAAGAUUAUCAUGCUGUGCAUGAGUGUGUGUGUGUGUUUCCCUAAUAUAAAUAAGUCUGAUGGGUAAAUUAGUUAAAUUUUGGGAAGACUCCUCUAUGCCAUUUUCAUGGAUCCCAUUCCUCCCUUCAUUCAAAAGUUGCUCCCUGCAUAUCUCUCUGUUUCUCCACAGAUGAGAUAUAAAGAAUAAAAGUAACGAAAAGUUGUGGAAUAAUAAGUGGUUGGUAUUUAGUGACAUUGUGCGCAAAGAUUUUAUGAAAAGAUAAAUUUUGAGAAAACUAUAAUAAGUUCAGACAGGCAAAUUCAUCCUUCUUUCCUUCUCUAGUUUUUGGAGCAUUCAUCUCAUUAUUCAAGGCCUGGGUAUUAUUCUCUUUCCUCAUUAUGUCUUCCCCAUUCUUUCGCCUUUUGCCAGAAAUCAUCCUAUUUUCUUUAUAAACUUAUAAACUAAGUACCUAUAAAGUAGAUUCUGCCUCUCCAACCCCCACACAAAAUCUCUUACAAUAUCUUAUGCAUAUAGAAGGAAAAUAUCAAUAAUAGAAAUAGAGAUGUAUCAGUCUUCAACAUCUUCACUUAAUAAAUAAAGUUAUACAAUGUGACUGAUAUCGAAUAGCAAAGAUAUUAUAGUGAUCGAUCAAAGGUGAUUGCAGUCUCAGUUUUAUUGGAAGGAUAGUAGUAAUACUGAGUAGAUAUUUUUAUUUAUCAGAUGCGCUGUUCCAAAGAAAUCAUCUAACUUGAAUAUUUGCACUCCAAAUGAAGUAUUUGAAUAUCAGUGUGUUUUGAUGUGCUAAUGCUUCAGAAGGCAUUCCUGAGUAUGUUUGUUUUGGGAACUGAAAUGCCACGUCAGGGGAUAAAAGUACGCUUCCCCUAUUUUGAACAGUGUCUUGAGUAAAUGGAAUGCUGGUGAUUUCAGCAUAUGACCUUGACUUUUAAAGAUAAAAAUCAGGAUAUCUGAGUUAGUUAUUUGAUGUUUAAAGUUAUGAAAUAGCAUCCAAUUCUAGGAAUUUUCAAAUGUCUCUGUAUUUUCUGUUUCUCAUCAUCAAUUUCUAUCACUUAUUCGCCUCAUUUGAUUUGCCUUCACCUUGAGAGAACUAAAAGUUCAGUUCUAUCCACAGAAGCAGUAGGUUUCCAGACUUUGGGGUCAAGGUGCACAACACUUUAAGUGCCAAUUCUGUUUCCCACCCGUUAGUGGACACUAGGCACAGCUUUGGCAACAUUUGUAUAACAUCAGAGCAACAUGCAGAUUUCUCCUGAAGUCUCUCCUUUUCCAUUUUACUUUUUUCUUUUCCAUAUAUCUUUUUUUUGUGUGCAAAAAAGGUUAAAUUGGCCUAAAAAUUAGGCUUAAUGCAUUUGCUUAUAGACUUUCUCUUUUAUUUGCAUUUAAUGUCUGAUACUGCUUUUUAAAAAAGGUUAUUACCAUAAUUCUCUUUAUCAUAUCCUAUUUCAUUCUCCAUAUUUGUGCUUUAAAACCUUCAUAUAUUUGGAUAUGGUUCUUGUAUAUUUACUGCUGCUGACAUUUCUAUUGAAUUUAGAAGCACCAACAUCAUCUUUAGUUAUUAUUGACUUGGAAACUUAUAAAGGGUAUAGUUGAAUUUAAGAACUUAUGGCCUUUCUCUGGGGUCACCAAUUAAAUUUUAUGACUUAUCUUAUGAAAAGCUGGAGUCAAAGAGCAGAGUAACUUUUUUUCCCUUCAGGUUGUAAUAUAAUUUAUGAACAACCGUCAGGAUUUGCUCAAAGUAUUUCCACAAUGUAAGAUAUUGCUUUGAAGGGCCUGGGUGGCGUUACUGGAUGAAUUCUGACCUAGAUUCCUAAGAGAAGCAGGCCUCACAGGCUCUCAGCUCCUUCUCAGACAAACAGUAAUCUGAUUCUCAAGCAUAGAAAGCUGUCACAAUUUGUGACCUUUACUGUGAGUGAUAUAAGCUAUGCCAAAGCAGAGACAGAAUUACCUCUUACCUCGUGCAAAGUCACUCUUGAGGUCACUUUCAGGACAAUGUAAGGACAGGUGCCCUACUGCUUCUUUGCCCUGUUAGGCCUUUCUGUUUGGCUGAUUUAUCCAUUCUAGGGUACACCCCGCUCCAGUAAUUCAAAGAGAACUCAACCUACACUGGAUGAGAUCAAGCCUGGUAACCACUAGAGACUGGUUUCUGUGAAGGAAAAUUAUGUCAGACUGCAGGCAGGUCAGGGACUGAUGGAAGCAAAUGAAAUCAGCUUAGUUUUUCUCGUUCAUUGGGCAUCAUCUGCCUAAUAAAUAUGAACCGUAAAAUGCUGAUUUGUUUCACGUUGGUCUUUUUUAUAUAGGUGUAUUGAAAUAUAUAAAUUGCUACAGGUCACUAACCUAAUGAAAUUUGUCCUAUUAUCUCAACUUAGUUAUUUUAUAUUAGUUACUUCUAAGAAUAAUUUAUUACCUGGAAUUUUCUUUAUAAUUUAUUAUUUAAUCAUUCAUUUGCAGUCAUUUUAUAAUAUUUGUAAAAAUCAUUUAAUAUUUUCUCCUAGACUUUACAUGUCAUAUCUCUAAAGCUCUCCCUCUUUCUGUUCUUAAGUCUGCAUAAGUGUUCUCAUGAUAUAUCUGUAUGUAUCCUGGAGUUCAAGCAAAUCAGUUUUACUCAUUCAUUUUAUUUUGCUUUCCUAAUUUCAGGUAAGUGAAUCAGUUAAAAUAAAACAUUUUCAAAU
rnacentral:lncRNA from 1 species